CUCAGGUCCAGACUUGAUACAACUCUCUCCACCAUGGUCUCUGGUGUCCUCAGGUCCAGGCUCGAUACAACUCUCUCCACCAUGGUCUCUGGUGUCCUCAGGUCCAGGCUCGAUACAACUCUCUCCACCAUGGUCUCUGGUGUUCUCAGGUCCAGACUUGAUACAACUCUCUCCACCAUGGUCUCUGGUGUCCUCAGGUCCAGGCUUGAUACAACUCUCUCCACCAUGGUCUCUGGUGUCCUCAGGUCCAGGCUUGAUACAACUCUCUCCACCAUGGUCUCUGGUGUCCUCAGGUCCAGGCUCGAUACAACUCUCUCCACCAUGGUCUCUGGUGUCCUCAGGUCCAGGCUCGAUACAACUCUCUCCACCAUGGUCUCUGGUGUCCUCAGGUCCAGACUUGAUACAACUCUCUCCACCAUGGUCU